GUAGCUUCGGCAGCACAUAUACUAAAAAUGGAACGAUACAGAGAAGAUUAGCAUGGCCCCUGCGCAAGGAUUAUUCUCUAAUUCUUAUAUUUUCACUUAUUUUG